CUCGGGUCCGGAAGCUGGUUCCUGUCUGACGACGCCGUACUCAAGCCACACGUCGUUCGAGCUGUGGCGGACUGCCCGUGAAGCGCGGGGAGAAGCUCAAACUCCACCGGGUUUUAAUAAAAGGUAAUAAAUAGAAAUAUUAUAGUGUUUCGACUUUGGACCAGCGAUAACAAAAGUGAACGGGUCGGUGGGCCUUCUCUCGUAGACCUGUUGCCGGUUGAGCCGACUUCAGAAACGGUUCAACCGGUCCCAGUCCAUCAGCUGUCCGAGGGAUAAACCCCACUCUAUUCUUCUCUCUUCUCUCACUUAUUCCUCUCCUCCUCAGGUUCAAAAAAGACAGCAUCUCCUCACCUCUCCUCUCUGCUCCAAAGAAAUCACUUCCUCGUUCUAGAUCCCGCGGAGUUCAGUUUGAGGGGCAAGGGUUGUUGGAUUUGGAUCUCUCUCAUCACGUGCCCCUCCCUCCCCUUUCUCAAGUUUCAAAUCUUCAUUUGCACGGGAACUUCUCUUCUCAAGAAGAUGGUCCGCAGAAGAAAUCCGUCCAUUAUUGAGGGAAGCGAAGGUGAAAUGGACAAUCAAAUCGAAAGUGAAGAAGAAAUUCAUGAGAAACGUCCUCGCCUCUUUCAAACCGGUCCAGUCAACAGGCAGGCUCAAGGUGACAGUGAGAGCAGCGCUCGGCCCCAAACUGUUCACGCAACAAGAGGUGAGAGAUUUCCCUCUCUUCGGCGAAAAUUCGCAGGGCAAUGCCCUCGCCGUGUGGCAGAUCCAAAUGCGGAUGAACCAGCUAGUGAUGAUGAUGGUAAAAAAGAUGAUGUUGUAGCACUUCCUCCGGAUGAUGCUCCUCUCAUUAGGGAUCUUGUGCUACACAGGGCCAAAGCCCGUCGUAAUCCAAAUGAACCUCAAAUGGAUUACAGUGCGGGCAGCAACAGUUUGCUUCAAUACAUAAGGUAUGAAAAUCCAAUGAAGUGGGCAAGAGAUAAUCGAAUUGACGGUCACAGAUUUUGGAAUCUCUUUCAUGUGGACUUCUACAACUCAGUAAUCAUGACUAAGAAGCACCAACCUAUCAUCAAACAAAGAUCUAUAAAUUGGGCUGAAUGUGAGCAGAUGAGAGAUAAGGAAAUGACUAGAGCUCUGCGAGCAUGUGAGGCUAAAGGAAUGAAGAACAUCAUGCUUUUCUCUUAUGAUUGGAACGACGAAGUGAUAGCCCAAUUUUACUCAACUCUAUGGGUGAAGCUGAGCAGUGAUGAUUUGGGUGCCUAUGCCUAUCCAUACAUGAAUUUCAACAUUGAAGGACAGUGGUAUAAGGUGAGCUACCGGCGCUUUGCUCAUAUUCUUGGGUUCACUGAUUCUGAGAUCCAUCCUGAUCGUAGAUGCAUCCACAACUAUUCUCUUCCACCUCGUGCCGAAGUAAUUGACAUGCAUGUGGUGCCUACUGACGACAUGUGGAAAACUACAAAUCUGCAAGGUUAUUACAGGUAUCUCAACUCCAUGUUCCGUGCCACUCUCAUUCCUAAGGGAGGAAAUCAAGUGAAUGUGCAUGGUGAAAGUCACGUUCUCCUUUACUUCAUGAAGCCAAAUAAGAAUUUUAGAAUUAAUGUGUUUGACAUGAUCUGGAAAGAAAUUAUCCAUGCCUCUUGGAACACAUCUAAAGGGUGUGUGCAUGCUCCUUUCAUAAUGAAAAUGAUUGAAGUGGUGUCUCAAACUUAUUUUCAAAAGGACAGCAAGCAUGUCAAGUACACACCUUAUUGGAUUGAUCCAAACAACCCAGCCGGCAGAUCAAAAAGGGCACCCACCUCAGCUGAGCCUGGAGCUUCUUCUUCAUCCUCCGAAGAACCUGCUCCAGCUCCACCUCUUCAUCCCUCUUCUUCUCGGGCUGCCGCUGCCUCUCGCCCCAUGAGCCGUGGUGACCGAGGUAAGCAAGGAGGUCUUAAAGCUUUACUCAAGAAGGGGUUCAAUGCCAUGUUUGCCAUAUAUCGAGAGAACUCAAUUCACACAGCUGAGCUUGUACGAAGAACAAUGGAGUUGGAUCAGAAUUUUAGACGUCAUGUCGCUGGUCAACCGUUGCUUCCAGUUCGUCCGUAUAAUCCUCCACCUCCUAUGGCCGACACUCUUGAUCAGUGGCAUCAACAAACUUAUGGAGUUCCCUUCAGUGCGUCCGACCAAGAAAUCUCUGAGGAUGAACCAGUUACUCCUCCUGCUGCUUCUGCUUCAGUUCCUCCUACUCCUGCUGCUUCUGCUUCAGUUCCUCCUCCUCCUGCUUCCGCUCCAGACUUGGGCACCUACUUCUUUGGUGAUCCUAGUGGUGGUCAUGGUCCCUAUGGUGGGUGGUGAUCUUAUUUUUUUCUUCAUUUUGGUUGCUUGAUGCCAAAAAUGGGGAGAAGUUUGUGAUAUCUUUGCUCUUUUAUCUAUCUACCCACUCUUGUUGUGAGUUGUGAGAGAGAACUUCAACUCUUGGGAUGUAAAAUAACUUUGUGAUUGUGUGCUGAUCUCAAAAACAUCUAGCUUGUAAUAGUAAAUUAGGUGAACUUAUUUCAUUAUGAUGAAUUUCUGUUAUCCUAAGUUUUGUGUCAUUUACUUCUCUUUUGUUUGUGGUGUAUUGUUGUUAUUAUUAUUUUUGGGUGUAUGUCUUGUCAUAUGCAUUUGUUUUAUAGACAUUUUAUAUGACAUCUUGUUCCACCUCUCAGAUACAUGUGCAUUAUGUGACCUCUACACUUUCUCUCUAAAUGUGAUGCAUGAAUGGCAUAUGAGGCCAAUUCUUGUGAAAUUCAUCACAUGCACACAUUUAGGGAGAGUCAUAAGUAUUAAAAAAUCUUGUGUUUAUCUUAUCUACGUCACUUUUAAUUAUUUUAUCAUUAAUCACCAAAAAGAGAGAGAUUAUAAGAGCAAUUAAUCUUUUGAGGGUUUUAGUGAUUGAAUGUCAAAGAGAUUAAAAGUACUAACAACUUUAUUUGAGCAUGUGUAUAGUUCUUAAUAUCCUGUGAAGUGCUCAUGCUCAUGCCAAAGAGUCAAAAGAGCAUGAAACGUCUAUGUGAAGUUAUGCAGGACCCAAAGAAGAUAUAUCAUGAAGAGCGAAUCACAUCCAAAAAUCUUUUGAGACAUAUUCAAGAUUAAACUCAAUACUCAAGAAUCGAGAUCUUGGUUGACUUUUAUUUAUGUCAUUGAAUAUAGGAAUCGUCAUACUAUCAAGAGGGAUCAACAUAUGGUAUUGGCGUUGUUGCUAAAGCUCACACUCUUUAUUUUUGAGUGAACUAUUUUAUUUCAGCUCCACUGUGAUUGAAGUGGGCUGUUCAACCAGUCCUUGGCCCACCUCAACCUUGUUUCUCUUUGGUCUCCAGACAAGUGGAAACUUGUUUAACAAUGACCCCGCUCCACCACCUCCACCAUCACCACUAGCACCAAAUACCCCUCCCUAUUGGCAACCUGAUGUUCCAGCUUACCCAUCCCCAUACUUAUAUUUAAACUCUACUCGCGAACGGUGCAGUCUACGAUGCAGAACAAUGUAAAAUAGUACAUAUGGGUAAACUUUGGGUAAUCUGCUGGAGUCGGCCUAAAGUCUAAGAUACCCAGCCGAAAAUGGUGGCAGACACUCCAAACUUGGUGAUGGUGCAGUUGCAGGAAUCGUAAUAUGUUUGCUGGAUGUUGGUGCAAUAGUUGCAUUCCUUGUAAUCAAAAGGAAAUCUUGGAGGUUAUCAUGGGGACAAGACCCGGAACAAAAUGAACCUCUCAGUCCUCUUGCUUCUGGACUUAAACAGAUGAAAUCUAUCAAAAUCAUAUCGACAAUUGGCAAAGAAGAACUGCAGAAGACUGUUUAGAUGAGUUUGAAGCCGCCAACAAAAAUUGACCUCCACAAGUCCUUUGAUGAAAGUGAUACCACUAACAAGUCCAUCUCAAGGUAAAGUAAGUUUGUCUUCCAUAACAAUACCUGCAUAGACGGUGGCAGGCCUUCAGGUGCAACAGGCAGCUUCGGUCCUGACAGUCUUAUCUGUGAGGGGUCGUUAGGCCCCGCGUUUACAAAGCGAAAUUCGGUGAUCAGAAGAUUCACGAAUUUCAAAUUAUGAUCAAAACUAUUGCGAUAUCAUCACUUUCUGGAUGGUAAAUUUCAGGUCCCGACCGCGGGCCGAGCAGUCACUUGUCCGAUGGGCUACUCCGCAGCCGCACGACAUCGACGCGCUGGAGCAGAUGGUCGACCCCGCGCUGCGAGGGCUGUACCCGUCCAAAUCCCUCUCCGGCCCACCCGCUUCGCCGAUGCCAUCGCUCUAUGCGUUCAGGUGAAGAAGUAUCUCCAGUCCAUCCAGCUCGAUCUCAUUGCCCCUAUUCUAUACGGCAGUGGCAUUUCUGGCGCUGCGGCUGAAUUGCUGGCGCCGGCUGGUUCCUGCAACCUGCAGCCCGAGCCGGAGUUUCGGCCGCCGAUGUGGGAGGUCUUGCAGUCGCUGGUGCGCCAGCGCCUGGUGCAAAGGGCGAACAUGGCGAGGACGCAGUCGCACUCGCGGCGCCACGGCGAACCCGUUACUGCUUCAAGAGUAAGACGCAACUUGCCGCGCUACUGCUUCAUGAUGGCUUUUUGAGAAAAAAUGAGAGAAAAUAGUUUAGUUUGGAUUUGAGUGUGGCUUAAUUUCGAAUUUCACAUAAUAAUUUUCAGCAUGUUCGUUUGGCUUCCAUUUAUAUCAGAUUCUACUAUUUCUACAAUAUUUUUAUCCUUAUAAAUUAUAGUUGUAUUAGUCUAAUUAGCUGACUUUAAUACAAAGUAAACAGUAACAUUCGCCUUUUGGUUAAACCAUGAGUUCAAACUUAGUUUGAACACAGCUUCAGAUAGUGUAGACAGAACGAGCUUAAGUAGUUUCGUGUGUAGUUCCAAAAACUAAUUAAAGAUGUUUCUGCUUACAAAAUCAUUUUCUAGAUAUAUAUUUUUUUGGACCUUGCCCAUGUUGUGGUGGGGUAGCAGACGAACAUCCGAUUGUCUGAUUUUAGGCCGGAUUUGGCUUGCUUCGGGGCUCAGGCUCAAAAUAUCCGAAGCCGCGGGGCGGGGUGGGGCCCGGACGGAGUCAGCGAUCGGGCAGAGUCGCAGAGAGCCUCGUCAGUGCCGCGGCGGCGACGGAUUUUUCAAUUCCCCCGCGCCUGCGACUGCAAAAAUAUCCAGCGUCCUCCCCCUGCCAGACUGACGCUGCUUGGAGUUGGAGUAUAUUGAUUGAUUGCUAUGAGGGACCAUGCCAUCGUGAUUAUGCGAGACGGUCUGAAACUAUAAAACAUUGAGGUUGUCUAGUACUGUACCAUCUUAAACUAGUAAAGAGAUGUACCAGGCUAGCCGUACAUCACAUUAUAGGCCGCGUUUGGUUUGCUGAAGAUUAUAGAAAAAUCUGCAUCUUGCAUGUUACCACCCAGAAAAUACAGCCCACACGUAAUUUUUGGAUUUUAUUUCUUUGGAUACAGAUUGUAUUUUUAAAACCGGAUUCCCAGUAUGUGCCGUGAGCGGCUUAUAUCUAUCACUCGGACAUACGACAGUUACGCGUCAAACUUAUUGACAAAUAAAACGUCGCCCGCUACUAUACAUUAUGCGUCGUAUGUAUCGUGUCAGCCUGCUGCCAUGAGACGUGACCACAAAGAAUAUCUCGCAACAACCCAUUCCGGCCCGACGUCACCGUGAUGCCAAUUGCCAUGGAGGAAGGCACGGGGAAGGCGCGCAGAGAGGACCCCGGGGCCGCCGCACGCCAGCUCCGAGAUAUUUCUCACCGAGCGUCCGUCGUCCACCCCACCGGGCCCGGCAGGCGGCACCCCAUCUCAGCACAGCACACGUGGAAAGGGUUGCCACGGCGGAUGGAAGCCGGAUAAAAAGCCCGUCCUCGUCCCUCACGCCCGCCACGCCCCACCCCGCUCGGCCUCCAGUCCAGCUCCACCGCUUUCACCCGCUCCGCUCCGUUUCCGUCGCUCCCGUCCCAAGGAGCCGCGCCACGCGAGAGGGGGCCACGGACGGUGGCAGUUUUCUGUUUCGGUGGGCGGGGACGUCGUCGACCGACCGACCGGAGCGGAAGGCCGGAGAUGAUGGAGGAGGGGGCGCCCGAUCUGCGAGAGCUCGUGCGCCUGCCGGAUGUUCUCGUGGUAUGCUCAUCUACUGGAUGGACAGAUGAAAAGCACAUGCUUUAUCUUCGAUUAUUGGAAGAAACAUUUGUGCACCAAUUACAUGGAAGUGGUUGCAUUUUUAAGGGACUGUUUAAUUGCUCUCCAAGAUAUUGUAGGCAAAUGAAAUCAUCUAAGCAAAUUGUUAAAUACACUACGCCUGGUCAGCAGGGGUGUGCCAUAGUUGAGGGUGGCAAAGUCAAGUCCUGCAUAAAGGCUGAGCAUGUUGAGUCACCUUCCUGUUGUGGAAAUCAGCAAGAUGAAAAAGUUCGUUCCCUGGAAGAUAAUGCAUCAACCACUAAGCCCAUGGAAAAAGCCACUUCCCAUGCAAGGGCAGCAAGCCCAGGACAAGCUUCCACGUGCUAUGUUGGCAAACACAGACAUUCUCCUUCCAGAAGUGCAGAGGGGUCGGAUCAGAACUUUGAUGAGGAAACCCAAGGGACUGGAGAAUCAAAACAUGAAUACAACCCGAAGCGACUGAAAUCUGCUGAUGGCACAAGGGAUCAUCAGGUUGUGAAUGCAGAAGCUCAUCAGGUGGGCUGCCUUGAUGUGAGUGACAAAAAUAGCGAGAACUUCAGUGCAUCGUCAAAAGUGCUUGCUGCAUCACUUGAUGUUGAAGCUGGGUCUCCCUCCGGCGACUGCAAGGAUCAUGGACCAAAAGGAUAAUGCAAUGUCCACCGAGUGUUUUCUGGAGUUGACUAACACACCCACCUGGCGCGCCGCAACUGAAUCAGAGAUAGGAAGUCAAUCAGUGCAAGUUUGUAAGAUAAGCUAGCUUGCCCGUUAUUCUGGUUUGGAAGUCAAAAUAGUUCGUUCAACUUAGCCUAGGCAGUUGACGGUUUUGUUGUGUUUCUGAGGGACUCUGAUACGAAAAUCAAAUUCCCUUUGUUCUGUGUUUGGCGCUGCAACCUGUAAAUGGAGUGCUUUUUUUUUGCGUACCGUGAUAUCUGCGUUUUGGAAUACUAUAAUAUCAGAAUUUGGAGCGUGUUUCGCCAUGCUCGCCUCA